CUUGAAAGGGACAGUGUGCUAAUCCUGUCAGACGCGCUGUGUGUUUAUUGUAGCUCUUUAAUGGAGAGGGAGCAGGAAAUGCUGAGAGAGAGUAGAGAGGCUAGAGUUGGCUCUCAGGAAGAGUAGCCUAGGUUCCUGCUGGCUUGCUCAUCUGUCAAGAUGGAGGACUGCCUGAACACCAGCGACUAUCUGAUGAUUAAUAAGCCCUAGCUCUUAUGUGGAGUUUUCCAUCAGCAGAUCUCAAAGGAGAUUCAUAAUUGUUUCUCCAUUCCAUCCGGUCUUUUUCAAGAAGCAAAUGGAAUCCCUGAAGGUGAACACAAAGAGCUGGCACGUGUGAGAUUCUCUGCACAGGCCUGUCCCACUGAGUAUUGCUGUUCCACUGUGUGCUUUGGAAACUGUGACUCUGUAAGCAAUUAGAGAGAGAGGCCAGUUAAAGGCAAGGGAGAGAGAUGCCAGUUUGACUUACCAGACCUAGAUCGUCGAGAAGCAGAAUGCAGUGUCGAAGAAAAAGAAGAAGAAGAAGACGACAACAACAACAACGACAAACAUAAGUAUCUCCCACUGUCGUCCCCAAAAUUAGAUCAACAUUUAUGAAUUGCUCAAAGUCUUUAACAUUUUUCACAAAAGAAUCUUCACCAGACCGGCCUCUCCUUUCACUAAUAAUUGGGAGUACAGUAUCAGGUCUCUAAGGGCAGACUUCCAUGCAAACAGGAGCGACCAAGAACUCAAGUGAUUUAUCAAGAUCCAAUUGCCUCAGGUAGACCACAUCAGUGAUACAGUAACCACAUCAAGACAUCAUAAACAUCUUGUGAACAACAUAAGAACCACAUCAGUCAUGGUGUGUAUAAUAUUAGAUAUGUGAAAUGUGGCUAUUUCUUUUGCAAUAUACUAACCACAUUAGCAAUAUACAGAAUGAACAUGAAUCAUGCAAAGUACAUGCUUAUGUAUUCCCUGAUGUGAUUUUUUUUGGCUAAAUAUUUGUUUAUCAGUUGUGUUGUUUUUGGAUUAAAGAUGAUAAGCAAAAUGUAAAACUUAGAUGAUAUGAAUACUGUGAUGUCUCAGGUCUUGAACUUAGCCCUGUGAGUGACAAGAUGGCUGUUGCAUCCUGGCCUCUACCCGCUGUCUACUGAAACCUGGUGGACUAAGAAGCUAGUAGUACUGUAGCUUCAGCCAAUGCACCAUCCAUAGGAACCCUGGCUGGAGGAGGGCCCGGUGCACUGAUUGGUCCAACCACACUAUUUAAGCCAAAAGGAUGCACAGGAAGCUGUCUGAGCAACUAUGUUACUUCCUGAAAUGACUGCUUGUUCUGGCUCCUGCCUCAGUCCUGUCUUUGCUGUCUCCACCAUGUUCCUUCUCUGUGCCUGAUCCUUGUCUCUUUUCUGGUGCUUGUCCUUAUGCCGUGCUUCUGUCAGUUACCAGUCCUAGCUCUGACCCUGGCUUGACCCUUGGCUCUGCCAUUUGGUCUCUGAUCCUGGCUCUGACCCUCACCUUUGAUUCCUGGCUCUGGUACUUGGCAAUUGACUCUGGUGCUGACCCUUGGCUUUGUUGCCCAUCCUGGAUACCUGCUCUGACCAUUAGUCCCACAUUCCAGUCCAUAAUACAUACCCCUUUAGGACAAAAAUGGCAGAAUUGCAACAAGUACCUCUUUUUUCCUGUGGGUUUCAAGGAACUGGUGGAAGGUAAUGCUGUAAUAUCAUUUACAUGUGGUUCCCACAUGCACUUACGUACUUUGCAUGAUACCUUUCCAUCUGAUGUUUCAUAGGUAGUUUGUGCCUUAAAGUCAAUGGAGUGCGACAGGUUGGGGACUAUAGCACUGGGCAGCAAUGGAGGGAGGUGUUGUGCCUGUAUAAGGUGAAAUACCUCCAGGAGACCCUGAAGGAAGAAUAGUCAGGAACGGUACUUGCUAUUCCUGUACAAAAACUGCUAUGUCUGUACACUGCUAUGUCCCGCACCACAAUGUCGCCAGCUCCCAACAGGAGCACACUUCUGUUUACAAAGCAGAAGCAGCUGCAUUUUGGCUGUUUCCUGUGCAGAUGAGGAUGGGAAGUAGAGUCUCCCUUCAUCCUCUCCUUUCCUCCUCCUCUCCGCCCCCUUUCACCCCAGAAUGCACUUGCCAUACAGAGCAGGGGUCAAUAACUUUGUCUAUGUUGCUGGUGUGGUUGAGAAGUUGCAACUAGGAUUUAGAUCCCUCACAUACAGCAUUACCCCAUAAGGCACACAUGAGUCUGAUGUCUUAGGCUCAUGUAAGUUAGAGAUGGAAAAGCCACAUCAGUUUAUAUAGUCCCGCCUGCUGCCAGUACAGGAUCUUUCAGUAGGAUACAUAUAUUUAUGCUUUUUUGUCACUUUUCAGUUAAACAGACUCAUUUACAUGGUCUUAGAGAGAGCUGGAGAACAGUAAACAAAGAUUUCACUGAUUUCCCCUACUACAUGUGCUUUGACUUGAUUUUCAUCCCCCAUUCCUUUUGCAACUAACACUGGUCUACAAUUUUUGAGAAGUUGUCUGC